GUGCUCACUUCAGCAGCACAUAUACUAAAAUUGGAACUAUAUAGAGAAGAUAAGCAUGGCUAAUCUGCUAGGAGGACAUGCAACUUUGUGAAGCAUUCCAUAUUAAA
rnacentral:snRNA from 1 species